rnacentral:misc_RNA from 1 species
GAACUGCGAUAAGUAAUGUGAAUUGCAGAAUUCAGUGAAUCAUCGAGUCUUUGAACGCACAUUGCGCCCCCUGGCAUUCCGGGGGGCAUGCCUGUCCGAGCGUCAUUGCUGCCCUCAAGCCCGGCUUGUGUGUUGGGUCGUCGUCCCCCCCGGGGGACGGGCCCGAAAGGCAGCGGCGGCACCGUGUCCGGUCCUCGAGCGUAUGGGGCUUUGUCACCCGCUCGAUUAGGGCCGGCCGGGCGCCAGCCGGCGUCUCCAACCUUAUUUUUCUCAGGUUGACCUCGGAUCAGGUAGGGAUACCCGCUGAACUUAA